rnacentral:rRNA from 1 species
GUGCCAGAGCCGCGGUAAGACAGAGGGGGCAAGCGUUGCUCGGAAUCACUGGGCGUAAAGAGCGCGUAGGCGGGAUGGCAAGUCGGUCGUGAAAUUCCCCGGCUCAACCGGGGAGCGUCGGUCGAUACUGCCAUUCUUGAGGGAUGCAGAGGAGACUGGAAUUCCCGGUGUAGCGGUGAAAUGUGUAGAGAUCGGGAGGAACACCGGUGGCGAAGGCGGGUCUCUGGGCAUCUCCUGACGCUGAGGCGCGAAAGCGUGGGGAGCAAACGGGAUUAGAUACCCCGGUAGUCCACGCGGUAAACGAUGACGACUAGGUGUGGGGGGGUUCAGUCCUUUCCGUGCCGCAGCUAACGCAUUAAGUCGUCCGCCUGGGGAGUACGGCCGCAAGGUUGAAACUCAAAGGAAUUGACGG